rnacentral:rRNA from 1 species
UACGUAGGGUGCAAGCGUUAUCCGGAAUUAUUGGGCGUAAAGAGCUCGUAGGCGGUUUGUCGCGUCUGCUGUGAAAACCCGAGGCUCAACCUCGGGCCUGCAGUGGGUACGGGCAGACUAGAGUGCGGUAGGGGGAGAAUGGAAUUCCUGGUGUAGCGGUGGAAUGCGCAGAUAUCAGGAGGAACACCGAUGGCGAAGGCAGUUCUCUGGGCCGUAACUGACGCUGAGGAGCGAAAGCGUGGGGAGCGAACAGG